rnacentral:rRNA from 1 species
AGUGAACGCUGGCGGUAGGCCUAACACAUGCAAGUCGAACGGCAGCACAGUAAGAGCUUGCUCUUACGGGUGGCGAGUGGCGGACGGGUGAGGAAUACAUCGGAAUCUACUUUUUCGUGGGGGAUAACGUAGGGAAACUUACGCUAAUACCGCAUACGACCUACGGGUGAAAGCAGGGGAUCUUCGGACCUUGCGCGAUUGAAUGAGCCGAUGUCGGAUUAGCUAGUUGGCGGGGUAAAGGCCCACCAAGGCGACGAUCCGAAGCUGGUCUGGGAGGAGACACAGCCAAACUGGAACUGAGACACGGCCCAGACUCCUACGGGAGGCAGCAGUGGGUAAUAUUGGACAAUGGGGGCAAGCCUGAUCCAGCCAUACCGCGUGGGUGAAGAAGGCCUUCGGGUUGUAAAGCCCUUUUGUUGGUAAAGAAAUCCAGCCGGCUAAUACCUGGUUGGGAUGACGGUACCCAAAGAAUAAGCACCGGCUAACUUCGUGCCAGCCGCCGCCGUAA